rnacentral:tRNA from 1 species
GCCGGGGCACGUUGGUCACACGUUCGCUUUAUAAGUGAAUGGUCAUGGGUUCGAUCCCAGCCCCGGCA